AAUUAAAUUUUUAUUACAUAAGAUAAAAAUUAUAUAUAUUCAUAUAUAAAAUUUAAUAAUAAAAAAAAUUAAAUAAUUAAUAAUUUAAUUAAAUAUUUUUAAAUAGCGUGCCAGCUAAAGCGGUUAAACGAUUAAUUAAAAUUAAACAAAAAUAAAACUAAAAAAAUAUAGUAAAAGUUUAUAUAUAGUAAAAUAUUUUAUAUAUUAAUAUUAAAAUAAGUAAUAAAAUAAAUAAGAAAUAAAUUGGAUUAGAUACCCAAAUAAAUAAACUUUAUAGUACUAAAUUAAUUUAAUUAAACUAGAAUUAUUUGGCGGUAAAAUUUAAAUUUAAAGGGUCUUGAUUUAUAAUAGAAAACACUCAAUAAAAAAAUCUUUUAGUUAUAAAUUUAUAUAUUUCCGUUAAAUUAUAUAUAAAUCAAAAGUUAAAUUAAUUAUUUAAAUAAACAGGUCAAUAUAUAGUUAAAACAAAAGAAAAAUUUAGACACAAAAAAAAAUUAAAAGAAAUAGAAUUUAAUAGUAAUUUAAAUAAAAAUUUAAAAACAAUUUUAAAUGAAUUUUUAAUUUUAUGUACAUAUUGCCCAUCACUUUCAUUUUAAAAUGAAAUAAGUUGAAACAUAGUAGAAGUAUAAGAAUAUGCUUCUAAA
rnacentral:rRNA from 1 species